ACAAGCGGUGGAGCAUGUGGUUUAAUUCGAUGAUACGCGAGGAACCUUACCUGGGCUCAAAUGUAUGUUGACGUAUUCUGAAAGGGAUACUUCUUCGGACAAUAUACAAGGUGCUGCAUGGUUGUCGUCAGCUCGUGCCGUGAGGUGUCGGGUUAAGUCCCAUAACGAGCGCAACCCCUAUCAUUAGUUGCCAUCAGGUCAAGCUGGGGACUCUAAUGAAACUGCCUACGCAAGUAGUGAGGAAGGUGGGGAUGACGUCAAAUCAGCACGGCCCUUACGUCCAGGGCUACACACGUGCUACAAUGGCCGGUACAAAGGGCAGCUACCCGGUGACAGGAUGCUAAUCUCAAAAGCCGGUCUCAGUUCGGAUCGGAGUCUGCAACCCGACCCCGUGAAGCUGGAAUCGCUAGUAAUCGCGCAUCAGCCAUGGCGCGGUGAAUACGUUCCCGGGCCUU
rnacentral:rRNA from 1 species